rnacentral:piRNA from 1 species
CUGCGACCAUGGAUAUUUUCUGAGGU